rnacentral:rRNA from 1 species
ACUGCUGCCUCCCGUAGGAGUAGGGGGAAUCUUCCACAAUGGACGAAAGUCUGAUGGAGCAAUGCCGCGUGAGUGAAGAAGGGUUUCGGCUCGUNAAACUCUGUUGUUAAAGAAGAACACCUUUGAGAGUAACUGUUCAAGGGUNGACGGUNUUUAACCAGAAAGCCACGGCUAACUACNUGCCAGCAGCCGCGGUAAUAC